GACAGAGGUCCCGAGCGUUAAUCGGAAUUACUGGGCGUAAAGCGUGCGCAGGCGGUUGUGCAAGACCGAUGUGAAAUCCCCGGGCUUAACCUGGGAACUGCAUUUGUGACUGCACGGCUAGAGUGUGUCAGAGGGGGGUAGAAUUCCACGUGUAGCAGUGAAAUGCGUAGAUAUGUGGAGGAAUACCGAUGGCGAAGGCAGCCCCCUGGGAUAACACUGACGCUCAUGCACGAAAGCGUGGGGAGCAAACAGG
rnacentral:rRNA from 1 species